rnacentral:rRNA from 1 species
UACGUAGGGUGCAAGCGUUAAUCGGAAUUACUGGGCGUAAAGCGUGCGCAGGCGGUUAUGUAAGACAGAUGUGAAAUCCCCGGGCUCAACCUGGGAACUGCAUUUGUGACUGCAUAGCUAGAGUACGGUAGAGGGGGAUGGAAUUCCUGGUGUAGCGGUGAAAUGCGCAGAUAUCAGGAAGAACACCCGUGGCGAAAGCGGCUCUCUGGAACGGUACUGACGCUGAGACGCGAAAGCGUGGGGAGCGAACAGG